rnacentral:rRNA from 1 species
GACGAACGCUGGCGGCGUGCCUAAUACAUGCAAGUAGAACGCUGAAGAGAGGAGCUUGCUCUUCUUGGAUGAGUUGCGAACGAGUGAGUAACGCGUAGGUAACCUGCCUUGUAGCGGGGGAUAACUAUUGGAAACGAUAGCUAAUACCGCAUAACAAUGGAUGACACAUGUCAUUUAUUUGAAAGGGGCAAUUGCUCCACUACAAGAUGGACCUGCGUUGUAUUAGCUAGUAGGUGAGGUAACGGCUCACCUAGGCGACGAUACAUAGCCGACCUGAGAGGGUGAUCGGCCACACUGGGACUGAGACACGGCCCAGACUCCUACGGGAGGCAGCAGUAGGGAAUCUUCGGCAAUGGGGGCAACCCUGACCGAGCAACGCCGCGUGAGUGAAGAAGGUUUUCGGAUCGUAAAGCUCUGUUGUAAGUCAAGAACGAGUGUGAGAGUGGAAAGUUCACACUGUGACGGUAGCUUACCAGAAAGGGACGGCUAACUACGUGCCAGCAGCCGCGGUAAUACGUAGGUCCCGAGCGUUGUCCGGAUUUAUUGGGCGUAAAGCGAGCGCAGGCGGUUUGAUAAGUCUGAAGUUAAAGGCUGUGGCUCAACCAUAGUUCGCUUUGGAAACUGUCAAACUUGAGUGCAGAAGGGGAGAGUGGAAUUCCAUGUGUAGCGGUGAAAUGCGUAGAUAUAUGGAGGAACACCGGUGGCGAAAGCGGCUCUCUGGUCUGUAACUGACGCUGAGGCUCGAAAGCGUGGGGAGCGAACAGGAUUAGAUACCCUGGUAGUCCACGCCGUAAACGAUGAGUGCUAGGUGUUGGAUCCUUUCCGGGAUUCAGUGCCGCAGCUAACGCAUUAAGCACUCCGCCUGGGGAGUACGACCGCAAGGUUGAAACUCAAAGGAAUUGACGGGGGCCCGCACAAGCGGUGGAGCAUGUGGUUUAAUUCGAAGCAACGCGAAGAACCUUACCAGGUCUUGACAUCCCGAUGCUAUUUCUAGAGAUAGAAAGUUACUUCGGUACAUCGGUGACAGGUGGUGCAUGGUUGUCGUCAGCUCGUGUCGUGAGAUGUUGGGUUAAGUCCCGCAACGAGCGCAACCCCUAUUGUUAGUUGCCAUCAUUCAGUUGGGCACUCUAGCGAGACUGCCGGUAAUAAACCGGAGGAAGGUGGGGAUGACGUCAAAUCAUCAUGCCCCUUAUGACCUGGGCUACACACGUGCUACAAUGGUUGGUACAACGAGUUGCGAGUCGGUGACGGCAAGCUAAUCUCUUAAAGCCAAUCUCAGUUCGGAUUGUAGGCUGCAACUCGCCUACAUGAAGUCGGAAUCGCUAGUAAUCGCGGAUCAGCACGCCGCGGUGAAUACGUUCCCGGGCCU